rnacentral:misc_RNA from 1 species
GGCCAAUGUCACUGAGCUCCAUAGUUAGGUCGCUGAUCUCCAUACCAGAGAGUCGAACUGCAGCCAUAGUGUCAGGAAGCUCCUCUCUAGUAACAUCCAUUAGCUUCUCUAGUGACUCUGCAGCUCGCCUAAAAGCCAGAAGAGUUGGAAUUGCAGAAAAGAACAGCCAGGUUGCAGAAAUUGCAGCCACGCAAGCAAUGAAAUUGAGGAUAUGAAUAUGGCGAUGAGUGAGGGUCCACUGGGAGAGUUGAGGCGCCGACGAAGAUCCGACGGUGGAAUUCAAAUUAGAGAUAACCAACGGCUCAGAUGACGACGAAGCGGUUUCCGAUUGAACCGAAAGAGAUGCCAAUUGACGUUGACGCAAUCUGAUACUAAACCUCCGGCCGUAAACCAAGUUCCCGGCGGUUAGUUGAUCGAAUUUGUUGUCGAACAACGGCGACGAUGGCUGCAACUUCAG